rnacentral:rRNA from 1 species
CCUACGGGAGGCAGCAGUGGGGAAUAUUGCGCAAUGGGCGAAAGCCUGACGCAGCGACGCCGCGUGAGGGAUGAAGGUCUUCGGAUCGUAAACCUCUGUCAGCAGGGAAGAACGGUCACUGUGCUAAUCAGCAGUGAAUUGACGGUACCUGCAAAGGAAGCACCGGCUAACUCCGUGCCAGCAGCCGCGGUAAUACGGAGGGUGCGAGCGUUAAUCGGAUUUACUGGGCGUAAAGCGCUCGUAGGCGGUAUGUCAAGUCAAGGGUGAAAUCCCCGCGCUCAACGUGGGAACUGCCUUUGAAACUGGCAAACUUGAGUGUGUGAGAGGAGAGUAGAAUUCCAGGUGUAGGGGUGAAAUCCGUAGAUAUCUGGAGGAACAUCAGUGGCGAAGGCGACUAUCUGGCACAUAACUGACGCUGAGGAGCGAAAGCGUGGGGAGCAAACAGGAUUAGAUACCCCAGUAGUC